GCCGGUUGAGCCAGAUGGGACGGCGGGGGACUUUGAAUCCUUGACUGACCGCGUUCGAUUCGCGGAACCGGUGCCA
rnacentral:tRNA from 1 species